AUUGAACGCUGGCGGCAUGCCUUACACAUGCAAGUCGAACGGUAACAGGUCUUCGGAUGCUGACGAGUGGCGAACGGGUGAGUAAUACAUCGGAACGUGCCUAGUAGUGGGGGAUAACUACUCGAAAGAGUGGCUAAUACCGCAUGAGAUCUACGGAUGAAAGCAGGGGAUCGCAAGACCUUGUGCUACUAGAGCGGCCGAUGGCAGAUUAGGUAGUUGGUGGGAUAAAAGCUUACCAAGCCGAAGAUCUGUAGCUGGUCUGAGAGGAGGAUCAGCCACACUGGGACUGGGACACGGCCCGGACUCCUGCGGGAGGCAGCAGUGGGGAAUUUUGGAAAAUGGGCGAAAGCCUGAUCCAGCAAUGCCGCGUGCAGGAUGAAGGCCUUCGGGUUGUAAACUGCUUUUGUACGGAACGAAAAGCCCCGGGUUAAUACCCUGGGGUCAUGACGGUACCGUAAGAAUAAGCACCGGCUAACUACGUGCCAGCAGCCGCCGUAA
rnacentral:rRNA from 1 species